ACGAGGUAGAAAGGUUAUUUUCGAUCGCAAAAUACUUGCAAGCACAGUCGCUUGAGUUGGUUCCAAUCCAAUUUCAGCGAUUAUUGUAACGACUUGAGCUACAAUAGACUAAUCAGAGGAAAGAUUUUAUAUAUCACGCUAUGUGACCAACGUGGGAAAAUGAUAUCGAUAGCGAGAAUAUUGAUCCAGCAAAUAAGUAUAACCUCAAAGUGCCUAAAACA